UACGUAGGGGGCAAGCGUUGUCCGGAAUCAUUGGGCGUAAAGAGCGUGUAGGCGGCCCGAUAAGUCCGCUGUGAAAGUCCAGGGCUCAACCCUGGAAUGCCGGUGGAUACUGUCGGGCUCGAAUCCGGAAGAGGUGAGUGGAAUUCCUGGUGUAGCGGUGAAAUGACGCAGAUAUCAGGAGGAACACCGGUGGCGAAGGCGGGUCUCUGGGCCGAUACUGACGCUGAGGAGCGAAAGCGUGGGGAGCGAACAGG
rnacentral:rRNA from 1 species